CUUCACCGAGCCGAGCCAGAGCGGCUCGUCCUCGGUGUGCUCCUGGCCGUAGGUGGCGAGCAGCGCCUGAGCCUC
rfam:Streptomyces autolyticus strain CGMCC0516, complete genome.